rnacentral:sRNA from 1 species
UUGAAUUAUUACUAUUUUUCCUAUAACCCGUGUUCUUAUAGAAUAUCCGAUGGAUGACGAUAUGAUAUUUAGAACAUGUUUCGAACACCUCUUUAUAGUAUAGAUGAUGGAUGACUUUAUACUAUGAAGUUGUUUUUCAAUAUAUAUAUGUUCAAUGGUUUCGUACUUACCUAGUGGUCCUUUCCGCUACGGGACGUAGGGAUAGAUUCCGGUCCGUCUCGGGCGACGGUUUGGUGUUGGCAUAGGGCCUGGAGUGUGUUUCCUCUGGCUAUUUAGCACAGAGACGGGGAGCCGGCAUGGGGCCUGAAGUGUAUUUUCCUUUGACUGUCUGCUCAGAGACGGGGAGCCGGCAUAGGGCCUGGGGGUUAUCGGACAAUUCACUAGUGAUUAUUAUAUAUGAGUUAUGAUUUGAGAUACUGCACAUCAUGCUAGGUUUCGGAAAACCUAUGUUUAUCAUUAUAUAUGUGUUUUCAUAAACCUGGGGGUUAGUACGUUGAUAACUGUUUUAUUAUAUAUAUAUCAACUUGGUCCACUCAUGUUUGUUUUGCGCCCCCUUCAGGGCUUAGAAUCGAGGCAUACAAUCCCGGCAUCCAGGCACUUCCGCAUCGAUGUCUUCGAGUUCUUUUGGGCUUAGAAUCGAGGCAUACAAUCCCGGCAUCCAGGC